UCUGGUUGAUCCUGCCAGAGGUUACUGCUAUCGAGGUUCGACUAAGCCAUGCGAGUCGAAUGUCCGUAAGGACAUGGCGAACUGCUCAGUAACACGUGGACAACCUGCCCUUUGGACAGGGAUACCCCUGGGAAACUGGGACUAAUCCCUGAUAAGUCUCCGUAGCUGGAAUGCUCGGAGACGGAAAGCUCCGGCGCCACAGGAUGGGUCUGCGGCCUAUCAGGGUAGUAGUGGGUGUAGAGUACCUACUAGCCUACGACGGGUACGGGUUGUGAGAGCAAGAGCCCGGAGAUGGAUUCUGAGACACGAAUCCAGGCCCUACGGGGUGCAGCAGGCGCGAAAACUUUACAAUGCGGGACACCGCGAUAAGGGGACCUCGAGUGCUGGCAUACAAUGCUGGCUGUCCAGCUGCCUAAAUAGCAGUUGAUAGCAAGGGCCGGGCAAGACCGGUGCCAGCCGCCGCGGUAACACCGGCGGCUCGAGUGGUAACCGCUAUUAUUGGGUCUAAAGGGUCUGUAGCCUGCAGGUUAAGUCUCUUGGUAAAUCCGGCAGCUCAACUGUCGGGGUUCAGGGGAUACUGGUCUGCUCGGGACCGGGAGAGGUGAGAGGUACCUCAGGGGUAGGGGUGAAAUCUUGUAAUCCUUGAGGGACCACCAGUGGCGAAGGCGUCUCACCAGAACGGGUCCGACGGCAAGGGACGAAAGCUAGGGGCACGAACCGGAUUAGAUACCCGGGUAGUCCUAGCCGUAAACGAUACUCGCUAGGUGUCGGCCACGGUGCGACCGUGGUCGGUGCCGUAGGGAAGCCGUGAAGCGAGCCACCUGGGAAGUACGGCCGCAAGGCUGAAACUUAAAGGAAUUGGCGGGGGAGCACUACAACGGGUGGAGCCUGCGGUUUAAUUGGAUUCAACGCCGGAAAUCUCACCGGGGGCGACAGCAUGAUGAAGGCCAGGCUGAAGACCUUGCCUGAUCCGCUGAGAGGUGGUGCAUGGCCGUCGUCAGUUCGUACUGUGAAGCAUCCUGUUAAGUCAGGCAACG
rnacentral:rRNA from 1 species